GACAGAGAUAGAGAGAGAUAGGGGUGGAGAGAGACAGACAGAGACGGAGACAGAGAGAUACUGAGAGAGAGAGACAGAGACAAACAGAGACAGGGACCGAGAGAGACAGAGACAGAAGAGGGAGACAGAGACAGAGCGAAACAGAGACAGUGGGAAUGUGAAUCCCGGGCCCCUGCAGGGCUAUCUCGGUCCUGUGGUGCAGUGAUUUGCUGAGCACGGGGUGUGCCCUGCAUUGCUGGGGGCUGGGGUGGGAGUGGCUACAAAGUCAUUUCUCAUGGGAGGAACAUUUCCCUGUUGUUUCUAAACUCUCAGGAAACUGUCUGAUGUCUCUAAAGAAACCACUGUUGCCUGUGCUCGUGGAAAGCUGAUUCAGGAAGGGGUCUGGGGAGUCUGGGAUGUGGGUUUCCUGGGUACACAUCCAGAUGGCCAGUUUCUGCCUUAACUGAUGACAUUCCACCACAAAAGAAGUGAAAAUGGCCUGUUCCUGCCUUAACUGAUGAUGACAUUACCUUAUGAACGUCCUUCUCCUGGCUCAUCCUGGCUCAAAAGCUCCCCUGCUGAGCACCUUGUGACUCCCACCCCUGCCUGCCAGAGAACAACCCCCCUUCUUCCUUUACCUACCCAAAUCUUAUAAAACAGCCCCACCCCUACCUCCCUUCGCUGACUCUCUUUUUGGACUCAGCCCGCCUGCAACCAGGUGAAAUAAACAGCCAUGUUGCUCCCACAAAGCCUGUUUGGUGGUCCUUUCACACGAACGUGCAUGAAAUUUGGUGCCGUGACUCAGAUCAGGGGACCUCCCUUAGGAGAUCAAUCCCCUGUCCUCCUGCUCUUUGCUCUGUGAGAAAGAUCCACCUACAACCUCGGGUCCUCAGACCGACCAGCCCAAGGAACAUCUCACCAAUUUUAAAUCCAGUAAGUGGCCUCUUUUUUACUCUCUUCUCCAACCUCCCUCACUAUCCCUCAACCUCUUUCUCCUUUCAAUCUUGGCGCCACCCUUCAAUCUCUCCCUUCUCUUAAUUUCAAUUCCUUUCAUUUCUUGUAGAGACAAAGGAGACACAUUUUAUCCAUUGACCCAAAACUCCGGCGCUGGUCACGGACUUGGGAAGGCAGCCUUCCCUUGGUGUUUAAUCAUUUAUGGGGACGCCUCUCUGAUUAUUCAUCCAUGUUCCACUGAUGUCUGAUCUCCGUGGGGAAGCCUGCCUUGGUCAUUCACCCACGUUCCCUUGGUGGCAGGUCAAUUGUGGGGACGCCUGCCUUGGCUGCUCCCCACAACCAAUUCUCCAUGCCUCUACCCUUCCCUUUAAACUUGCCUCCUUCACUAUGGGCAACUUUCCACCCUCCAUUCCUCCUUCUUCUCCCUUAGCCUAUGUUCUCAGGAACUUAAAACCUCUUCAACUCUCGCCUGACCUAAAAUCUAAGCGUCUUAUUUUCUUCUGCAACACCACUUGGCCCCAGUACAAACUUGACAAUGGCUCUAAAUGACCAGAAAACGGCACUUUCGAUUUCUCCAUCCUACAAGAUCUAAAUAAUUCUUGUCGUAAAAUAGGCAAACGGUCUGAAGUGCCUGACGUCCAGGCUUUCUUUCAUACAUCCCUAGUCUGUUCCCAAUGCAACUCAUCCCAAAUCUUCCUUCUUUCCCUCCCCUCAGUCCCAAUCCCAAGCGUUGCUGAGUCUUUCCUCUUUCCAAUCUUCCUUUUCUACAGACCCAUCUGACCCCUCCGCUCCUCCCCAGGCUGCUCCUCGCCAGACCGAGCUAGGUCCCAAUUCUUCAUCAGCCUCCGCUCCUCUACCCAAUAAUCCUUUUAUCACCUCCCCUCCUCACACCUGGUCUGACUUACAGUUUCGUUCCGUGACUAGCUCUCCCCCACCUGCCCAGCAAUUUCCUCUUAAAAAGGUGGCUGGAGCUAAAGGCAUAGUCAGGGUUAAUGCUCCUUUUCUUUACCCGACCUCUCCCAAAUCAGUUAGCGUUUAGGCUCUUUUUCAUCAAAUAUAAAAAUCCAGCCCAGUUCAUGGCUCGUUCGGCAGCAACCCUGAGAUGCUUUACAGCCCUAGACCCUGAAAGGUCAAAAGGUCAUCUUAUUCUCAAUAUACAUUUUAUUACCCAAUCCGCUCCCGACAUUAAAUAAAACUCCAAAAAUUAAAUUCCGGCCCUCAAACCCCACAGCAGGACUUAAUUGUACACCUCGCCUUCAAGGUGUACAAUAAUAAAGUAGAGGCAGCCAAGUAGCAAUGUAUUUCUGAGUUGCAAUUCCUUGCAUCCACUGUGAGACAAACCCCCGCCAUAUCUCCAGCACGCAAGAACUGGAACGCCUGAACCGCAGCUGCCAGGGUUUCCUCCAGGCCCGUUUACCCGAGAAGCUUGCUACAAGUGCCAGAAAUCUGGCCACCGGGCCAAGGAAUGCCCGCAACCCAGGAUUCCUCCUAAGCCGUGUCCCAUCUGUGCAGGACCCCACUGAAAAUCAGACUGUUCAACUCACCUGGCUGCCACUCCCAGAGCCCCUGGAACUCUGGCCCAAGGCUCUCUGACUCCUUCCCAAAUCUUCUCGGCUUAGCGCUUGAAGACUGACGCUGCCCGAUCACCUCAGAAGCCUCCUGGACCAUCACGGAUGCUGAGCUUCGGGUAACUCACAGUGGAAG
rnacentral:lncRNA from 10 species